rnacentral:rRNA from 1 species
AUGGUCGUGGAUGCUUUGGCCUCCAUUCUAGAUAAGGCAAAAGCCGCUGGACACAUCCGAGGGAUUACCCCCCACCUCUCUAGGGGCUCGGGCAUCUCCAUCCUCCAGUAUGCUGACGACACGAUCAUCAUGAUCGAAGGCUCGGAGAUGGACAUCGCCAACCUCAAGUUCCUCCUUCUUUGCUUCCAACAGAUGUCAGGCCUCAAGAUCAACUUCGAUAAGAGCGAUGUUAUGGUGAUGGGAUAUUCCCCCUCUGAGUCUGUGGCCAUUACCAACAGACUUAAUUGCCGCCUGGGCUCUUUCCCCACUACCUACCUUGGGACGCCCAUUAGUGAGUCGCGUCUCUCUGUCGCGGACCUGCGGCCCUCCGUGACCAAGCUUCAGUCCCGGUGCGAGCCCUGGCAGGGGAGGUGGCUCUCUAAGGCGGCCCGGACUAUUCUUAUCAACUCAUCCCUCUCCAGCCUCCUCUUGUUUCUUAUGAGUUUCUACAGCCUCCAUGAAUCUCUCCAUAAGGAGAUCGCCAAAAUUCAGUCCCGAUUCUACUGGGCUGGCGAGCAUGGCAAGUAG